rnacentral:rRNA from 1 species
GAUGAACGCUGGCGGCGUGCCUAACACAUGCAAGUCGAGCGAAUGGAUUAAGAGCUUGCUCUUAUGAAGUUAGCGGCGGACGGGUGAGUAACACGUGAGUAACCUGCCCAUAAGACUGGGAUAACUCCGGGAAACCGGGGCUAAUACCGGAUAAUAUUUUGAACUGCAUGGUUCAAAAUUGAAAGGCGGCUUAGGCUGUCACUUAUGGAUGGACCCGCGUCGCAUUAGCUAGUUGGUGAGGUAACGGCUCACCAAGGCAACGAUGCGUAGCCGACCUGAGAGGGUGAUCGGCCACACUGGGACUGAGACACGGCCCAGACUCCUACGGGAGGCAGCAGUAGGGAAUCUUCCGCAAUGGACGAAAGUCUGACGGAGCAACGCCGCGUGAGUGAUGAAGGCUUUCGGGUCGUAAAACUCUGUUGUUAGGGAAGAACAAGUGCUAGUUGAAUAAGCUGGCACCUUGACGGUACCUAACCAGAAAGCCACGGCUAACUACGUGCCAGCCGCCGCGGUAA